AAAGCUGAGAUGCUGUUGAGUUUCACCCAGCCAAGUCAGAAAGGAAGAGUAAGGAGUGACAGAAACCCCUGAGUUCCUGAGACGACGGUGCCCCUGGGCCAAGCCCCACGACCUGCAGCUCCCACCUCCUCUUCCGCCCGAUCCCACCAUGCCCGGCAGGGCGAGGCGCGGAAAAAGUGUCUGUGAAGUGUGUCUUCGUGGGUGGGCCUGAGGCAGCUCAGAAGUCCUCCUUGAGUGUGGAUCACACAGGAGCAGGUUCACGGCGGGUCUUGGACAGGACAAGCAUUACUAUUCACCAGCAGCCCUGGGAACUCUCCCUGAGGCCUCCACUCCAGUCAUUUCAUAACCUGGCAAGAAUCGUGUCACCUUCCGGGGUUUUCAGCACUGAUGACACUCUUGUUUCCUCAUGAAAAAGCCUGGGUCACCUGAGGACGCUUCUUGCAUGGAUCCAGCUGGCCUGCACCUUCCUGUCACCAAUUCCCUGUGUUCCCUCCAGGGGCGCUGAGCAUCGUUUUCACUGUGAUGAAUACACUGUAACUGAACUAGUUACGAGGAUUAAAAAACAAGUCUUUGCAAUCUGCUAAGUAACGCCUUGAGCCCUUGUCCUCUUUCAAAAAGGAAGACAGCAACUGAUACCCCACCAGGUUUUAGCUGGGCUUACUGAAAAGCCGUAUUUUUAUUUUUAUUUAUUUUUCUUACUUCUUAUUUUGUAUUGGGAUAUAGUCAAUUAAUAAUGUUGUGAUAGUUUCAGGCAAACGGUGAAGGGACUUGGCCAUACAUAUACAUGUGUCUGUACUCUCUCAAACUCCUCUCUCACCCAGGCUACCACAUAACAUUGAGCAGAGUUCCAUGUACCAUAACUUUUUAAAAAUACAAGUGUAAUAUGAACCAGCCACACAUCUCAAUAUUUCACCUGCUUGUAGAGAACAUGUCUCCAAAAAAGGCUUUGGGGAAGAGCACUGCAGUAUAAGGGCAAUGAGGUCAGAU
ensembl:lncRNA